GAUUAACGCUGGCGGCGUGCAUAACACAUGCAAGUCGAACGAUGAAACUUAAAUGAUUUCUUCGGAAUGAACUUAAGUGGAUUAGUGGCGGACGGGUGAGUAACGCGUGAGUAACCUGCCUUACACAAGGGGAUAGCCGUUGGAAACGACGAAUAAUACCCUAUGAAACUAUCACUUCGCAUGAAGCGAUAGUCAAAGUGUUAGCGGUGUAAGAUGGACUUGCGUCUGAUUAGCUAGUUGGUGAGAAAAAAGCCCACCAAGGCAACGAUCAGUAGCCGGCUUGAGAGAGUGUACGGCCACAUUGGGACUGAGACACGACCCAGACUCCUGCGGGAGGCAGCAGUGGGGAAUUUAGCACAAUGGGGGAAACCCUGAUGCAGCGACGCCGCGUGAUUUAGAAGGCCUUCGGGUUGUAAAAAUCUUUUGUAUAGGAAGAAAAUGACAGUACUAUACGAAUAAGGUCCGGCUAAUUACGUG
rnacentral:rRNA from 1 species